GUCUAUGGCCAUGCCACCCUGAACAUCCCCGAUCUCGUCUGACCUCAGAAGCUAAGCAGGGUCAGGCCUGGUUAGUACUUGGAUGGGAGAUCACCUAGGAAUACCAGGUGCUAUAGGCA
rnacentral:rRNA from 1 species